GUGGCUUCCGGAGCUAACGCGUUAAGUCGACCGCCUGGGGAGUACGGCCGCAAGGUUAAAACUCAAAUGAAUUGACGGGGGCCCGCACAAGCGGUGGAGCAUGUGGUUUAAUUCGAUGCAACGCGAAGAACCUUACCUACUCUUGACAUCCACAGAACUUAGCAGAGAUGCUUCGGUGCCUUCGGGAACUGUGAGACAGGUGCUGCAUGGCUGUCGUCAGCUCGUGUUGUGAAAUGUUGGGUUAAGUCCCGCAACGAGCGCAACCCUUAUCCUUUGUUGCCAGCACGUAAUGGUGGGAACUCAAGGGAGACUGCCGGUGACAAACCGGAGGAAGGUGGGGAUGACGUCAAGUCAUCAUGGCCCUUACGAGUAGGGCUACACACGUGCUACAAUGGCAGAUACAAAGUGAAGCGAACUCGCGAGAGCCAGCGGACCACAUAAAGUCUGUCGUAGUCCGGAUUGGAGUCUGCAACUCGACUCCAUGAAGUCGGAAUCGCUAGUAAUCGUAGAUCAGAAUGCUACGGUGAAUACGUUCCCGGGCCUUGUACACACCGCCCGUCACACCAUGGGAGUGGGUUGCAAAAGAAGUAGGUAGCUUAACCUUCGGGAGGGCGCUUACCACUUUGUGAUUCAUGACUGGGGUGAAGUCGUAACAAGGUAACCGUAGGGGAACCUGCGGUUGGAUCACCUCCUUA
rnacentral:rRNA from 1 species